CACGUAGGGCGCAAGCGUUGUCCGGAAUUAUUGGGCGUAAAGAGCUCGUAGGCGGACUGUCACGUCUGCUGUGAAAAGCUAGGGCUUAACCCUGGCCUUGCAGUGGAUACGGGCAGACUAGAGGUAGGUAGGGGAGAAUGGAAUUCCCGGUGUAGCGGUGAAAUGCGCAGAUAUCGGGAGGAACACCGGUGGCGAAGGCGGUUCUCUGGGCCUGACCUGACGCUGAGGAGCGAAAGCGUGGGGAGCGAACAGG
rnacentral:rRNA from 1 species